UACGGAGGGGGCUAGCGUUGCUCGGAAUCACUGGGCGUAAAGGGCGCGUAGGCGGCCAUUCAAGUCGGGGGUGAAAGCCUGUGGCUCAACCACAGAAUUGCCUUCGAUACUGUUUGGCUUGAGUUUGGUAGAGGUUGGUGGAACUGCGAGUGUAGAGGUGAAAUUCGUAGAUAUUCGCAAGAACACCAGUGGCGAAGGCGGCCAACUGGACCAAUACUGACGCUG
rnacentral:rRNA from 1 species